rnacentral:rRNA from 1 species
CCUGGUAGCGGGGGAUAACUAUUGGAAACGAUAGCUAAUACCGCAUAACAGUAGAUAUCGCAUGAUAGCUGCUUGAAAGGUGCAAUUGCAUCACUACCAGAUGGACCUGCGUUGUAUUAGCUAGUUGGUGAGGUAACGGCUCACCAAGGCGACGAUACAUAGCCGACCUGAGAGGGUGAUCGGCCACACUGGGACUGAGACACGGCCCAG